GGUGAGUAACACGUGGGAAACCUGCCCAGAAGCGGGGGAUAACACCUGGAAACAGAUGCUAAUACCGCAUAACAACUUGGACCGCAUGGUCCGAGUUUGAAAGAUGGCUUCGGCUAUCACUUUUGGAUGGUCCCGCGGCGUAUUAGCUAGAUGGUGGGGUAACGGCUCACCAUGGCAAUGAUACGUAGCCGACCUGAGAGGGUAAUCGGCCACAUUGGGACUGAGACACGGCCCAAACUCCUACGGGAGGCAGCAGUAGGGAAUCUUCCACAAUGGACGAAAGUCUGAUGGAGCAACGCCGCGUGAGUGAAGAAGGGUUUCGGCUCGUAAAACUCUGUUGUUAAAGAAGAACAUAUCUGAGAGUAACUGUUCAGGUAUUGACGGUAUUUAACCAGAAAGCCACGGCUAACUACGUGCCAGCAGCCGCGGUAAUACGUAGGUGGCAAGCGUUGUCCGGAUUUAUUGGGCGUAAAGCGAGCGCAGGCGGUUUUUUAAGUCUGAUGUGAAAGCCUUCGGCUCAACCGAAGAAGUGCAUCGGAAACUGGGAAACUUGAGUGCAGAAGAGGACAGUGGAACUCCAUGUGUAGCGGUGAAAUGCGUAGAUAUAUGGAAGAACACCAGUGGCGAAGGCGGCUGUCUGGUCUGUAACUGACGCUGAGGCUCGAAAGUAUGGGUAGCAAACAGGAUUAGAUACCCUGGUAGUCCAUACCGUAAACGAUGAAUGCUAAGUGUUGGAGGGUUUCCGCCCUUCAGUGCUGCAGCUAACGCAUUAAGCAUUCCGCCUGGGGAGUACGGCCGCAAGGCUGAAACUCAAAGGAAUUGACGGGGGCCCGCACAAGCGGUGGAGCAUGUGGUUUAAUUCGAAGCUACGCGAAGAACCUUACCAGGUCUUGACAUACUAUGCAAAUCUAAGAGAUUAGACGUUCCCUUCGGGGACAUGGAUACAGGUGGUGCAUGGUUGUCGUCAGCUCGUGUCGUGAGAUGUUGGGUUAAGUCCCGCAACGAGCGCAACCCUUAUUAUCAGUUGCCAGCAUUAAGUUGGGCACUCUGGUGAGACUGCCGGUGACAAACCGGAGGAAGGUGGGGAUGACGUCAAAUCAUCAUGCCCCUUAUGACCUGGGCUACACACGUGCUACAAUGGAUGGUACAACGAGUUGCGAACUCGCGAGAGUAAGCUAAUCUCUUAAAGCCAUUCUCAGUUCGGAUUGUAGGCUGCAACUCGCCUACAUGAAGUCGGAAUCGCUAGUAAUCGCGGAUCAGCAUGCCGCGGUGAAUACGUUCCCGGGCCUUGUACACACCGCCCGUCACACC
rnacentral:rRNA from 2 species